UAGUGGUGAUAGCGGAGGGGAAACACCCGUUCCCAUCCCGAACACGGAAGUUAAGCCCUCCAGCGCCGAUGGUAGUUGGGGCCAGCGCCCCUGCAAGAGUAGGUCGCUGCUAGGC
rnacentral:rRNA from 1 species